AGGUAUCUCACUUUGUUAAGAAGGUAAGAUCCCUUAAAGAUGAUAAGGUAGAUAGGCCAGAGGUGUAAGUGUAGUAAUACAUUAAGCUAACUGGUACUAAUAGAUCGAGGGCUUAAUCAU
rnacentral:ncRNA from 1 species